AAGACAGCUGGAUGAUAGCCGGGCUGAAGACUCUGCUUGACUAGCUGAGAGGAGGUGCAUGGCCGUCGUCAGUUCGUACUGUGAAGCAUCCUGUUAAGUCAGGCAACGAGCGAGACCCACGCCAACAGUUGCCAGCAUGUCCUCCGGGAUGAUGGGGACACUGUUGGGACCGCCUCUGCUAAAGAGGAGGAAGGAAUGGGCAACGGUAGGUCAGCAUGCCCCGAAUUAUCCGGGCUACACGCGGGCUACAAUGGUCAGGACAAUGGGUAUCAACACCGAAAGGUGAAGGCAAUCUCCUAAACCUGUCCUUAGUUCGGAUUGUGGGCUGCAACUCGCCCACAUGAAGCUGGAAUCUGUAGUAAUCGCGUCUCAAAAUGGCGCGGUGAAUAUGUCCCUGCUCCUU
rnacentral:rRNA from 1 species